GCCCCAACUUCAACCCACAAAUAUCCACCGGCUUCCGUCAACUGGUUUCUGAAGGUGAAUUUCAACAAGCGUAAAUCUACAAACAUCCACCUGCUUCAGCCUCAUGGCAUUUCACUGAUAUCUGAAUGAGAACCCAUUGGCUUCCACCCACUAACAUCUUCCAGGUUCAGUUAGGUCCAUCACUAGACGUGAGCCAGUUUCUGACCAUGGAUGCCAGCCACCUUCAAGCCACAACUCUGCUCAGCAAGUGAACUUGCCUUAUUAUCGUUCCACAGCAUCCCACAGCCAGACAAUUGCUUCUGUCCGUCUGCUGAUUCCCCUUCUCCAAGUGGCAGAGUGAGCGAUACUUCCUGUCCCAGCUGUUGCCCACUGUCGUCUGUUGGGAAAGAGGAAAGGGCUCACUUUUAUACCCACCCAGUUGCCAUGGGCAUUUGUGAUGUCACAGGUAGUCCGUAGCCAAUGGCAACCACUGGGGAUGCAUCACCAGAAUCUCCUCAGGCCUCACAAUGGACAAUGGAAGCAGAGAAAGGGUGGAGAGGCUGGUGAGGUUCUGACAAGUGUUGAUCUCCGAGCUAACCAAGCCGAAGAGCCACCGCAAUGGUACCCUGCUGUGCAAACUGCUGCUUAUAGGAGAUGUUGUCAAUUCAAUCUCCUGCCAAGUGUUACCUGAUUUAAAGGGAGAGUCGGUGGAAGCACCCGAGGAACCUUCGGUGCAGAAAGAGAUUGAUUAUGGAAUAAAAUUAUAACAUUACAGCUCUGA